UGGUUUUCCCAUUCACCUGCCUGCCACCCUGAUCCCCCCUAAUUAACCCAACCACCUUCACUUGUGCUCCUCCUAUAACAGUCCUCUCCUUUCACUCAGUCCUUGCAGAUUGUCUCUUGUUUCAUUCAGAGCUUUAACACAACUCCCGAUUGACUUUGUCUACUCCACUCUACCUGUUAACGAACCCUCACAUGUCUGACCUCCUGCCUGCCGUCCAGUCCCUGUUUGUCUGUCUGCUCCUCUGUCCCCGUCUCCUGAUCCACCUGCCUGACUUCCUAUUAUCGACCCUUUGUUUACCUGACCUCCAGCCCGACGUCGAGUCUCUGUUGGUCUGUCUGCUCUCCAGUUCCCGACUCCCGAUCUGCUCUUCUGCCCUCCCGUUGCCAACUCCUUCCCUGCUGACCCAACGACGAUUCCCUGCCCACCUGUUGGUGACUUUACUGUCUGCUCUCUGCCUGCCCGAAUCUGUACCAGAAUAAAUCCUUGAUUCACAACACGCUAGUUUUGAUGGAAUGCGUGUUGUGAAUUGAGAACAGCCAGCUCCUGAUGUGAUACAGCGUUCAGCUGUGCAACAAAUAUUUUUUUCUUUUUCAAUCUUGACGACUUUUGUAGUGCUGUGUGUAGCCACACCUUUGGCCCUUCUGAACUUAAACACGCAGUUAAAUUCCUUUCCUAGCUCCUCUUGUUUAUGUUGUUAGCUUAGCCAUAUCAUGUCACGUUGUCAACAUUGGAUACAUGGAGCAGAACAUAGUGGGUCAUAUGUCCGAUGCUCUUUGAAAACGUUUUCUUCAUAAAACGUGCCAGACAGAUUUUGUAUAGAUUUUAUUCAUUAGUAAUUAGCUACAUGGUUAUGCCGUCUUUCAGAACCUCUCAUUACCGGCACUAAAGAGAGAAAAAGGAGUGCAUCCUCAUUGUACCCAGCACUUCUAAAAAUGCACUUCCGAAUGGUCUAUGUCCCCAGCACAUUUCAAACCAAACUGACGCCAAUGGAUACAUCAUAGCAAAGGACAACCUGGGGAUGGAUCCUGCCAAGGUCUCCGCUGCCACCUCCUGGGUCCCCCCGGAAACACGCAAGCAGCUGUAGCGUUUCUUGGGGUUUCGCCAACUUCUGCCGGCGCUUCAUCAGAGGAUUCAGCUCCAUUGCUUCUCCCCUCUCGGCCCUCAACUCACCCAAGGUCCCCUUCCAUUGGUCUAACGAGGCACAGAACUCCUUUGAGACCCUCAAGACCCGCUUCACCACUGUCCCCAUCCUUCAGAUCCUUGAACCCGGCCGGCAGUUAAUUAUGGAGGUGGACGCAUCCGGUGUGGGAGUAGGGCCAUUCCUCUCCCUGUGUUCUUCCACCGACCAGAAAAUCCAGGCCCUGCGCCUUUUUCUCUUGCCGUCUAACCCCCUCGGAGAGAAACUACGAUAUUGGCAACAGGGAGCUUCUGGCGGUGAAGCUGGCCUUGGAGGAGUGGAGGCACUGGCCAGAAGGAACCAAUGUUCCGUUUUUGGUCGGGACCGAUCACCGGAACUUAGAGUAUAUCCGGUCCGCCAAGAGGUUGAACUGCAGACAGUGCCGCUGGUCACUGUUCUUCGGUUCAACUUCACAUUGUCCUAUCGACCCGGUUCUCGUAACCUAAAACCUGAUCUCUCCAGACAGUUCCCAGAGUGUCCCGAUGAGACGGUCAAGCCUUCCACCAUCGUCCCAGCCUCCUGCCUCGUCGCUUCCAUCACCUAGGAGAUAGAGGAGAAGGUACGAACCGCCACUCUGGACCAGUCAGCUCCCAGUUCCUGUCCCCCUGACCGCCUGUUUGUCCCGUCACACCUCCGUUCUGACAUGCUCCAGUUGGGCCAUGCUUCCCGGCUCAACUGCCAUCCCAGCAUCCAGCGGACCCGGGACUUCCUGCGAGGGCGCUUCUGGUGGCCGUCACUGGAAGAGGAUGUCCGGAGCUUCGUCAACGCCUGUCCUGUUUGUAACCAGAAUAAGACCUCUCGCCGCCCACCUGCCGGCUUCCUGCACCCCUUGCCCAUCCCCCAUCGUCCCUGGUCGCAUCUCUCUGGACUUUGUGACUGGUUUGUCUGCAUCCAAGGGCCACACCGUCGUCCUCACCCUCGUAGAUCAAUUUAGUAAAUUGGCCCAUUUCUUCCCCCUUUCAUCCUCCCCUCUUCCAGAGAGACUGCGGAACUGCUCCUCCACCACGUCUUCCGCCUCAAUGGGUUACCUACAGAUGUCGUCUCUGACCGGGGGCCCCAAUUCACCUCGGUAUUCUGGAGGGAAUUCUGCAGCCUAGUCGGGACUACCGCCAGUCUAUCUUCCGGCUUCCAGCCCAAGUCCAAUGGACAGACCGAGAGGGUCAAUCAAGAUCUGGAGACCACCCUCCGAUGCCUGGUGAACCGCAAUCUGGCUUCCUGGUCCGGCCAACUGGUAUGGGUAGAGUAUGCGCAUAACACCCUUACCUGCUCAUCCAACGGCCUCUCUCCCUUUCAGUGCGCCUAUGGGUAUCUGCCACCCCUAUUCCCCGACCUGGAGAAGGAGUCCUCCAGCCUCUCGGCUCAAGCCCUGAUCCGUCGUUGUUGACGCACCUGGACCCUGGCAUACACUGCUCUCUCCGAGUCUGCAGAUCAACACGCUACUGCUGCCAACAAACACAGCACGCCGACCCCUGCCUACCAACUUGGCCAGAAGGUCUGGCUCUCAACCCAUGAUCUGCCCCUUAAAGUGGAGAGUCACAAGCUGGCCCCCAAGUUCAUAGGACCAUUUCCCAUAACCUACAUCAUUAACCCAGAGGCGGUACGCCUUCAGCUUCCUCGUUCCAUGAGGAUCCACCCAACUUUCCAUGUCUCCAGGGUCAAACCCGUCCAGACCUUCCGAGGAGAAGGCACUCAGAUGUCGCGUCCUCCUCGUCAACGGAGGACGCUAUCUCCGAUGCCUCCAAGUAAUUCUAACCCUCCUCCGCGGCCCCUCCACCCUCCCUGUUUGAUCUAGGACGUCUGGUGCCGUCCCUUGCCGGGGGGGGGGGUGGGUACUGUCAUAGUCCGCCCCUGGUUUUCCCAUUCACCUGCCUGCCACCAUGAUCUCCCCUAAUUAACCCAACCACCUUCACCUAUGUUCCCCCUAUAACAGUCCUCUCCUUUCACUCAGUCCUUGCCAGAAUGUCUCUUGUUUCAUUCAGAGCUUUCCUGCAACUCCCGAUUGACUUUGUACACUCCACUCUGCCUGUCUGACCUCCUGCCCGCCGUCCAGUCCCUGUCGGUCUGUCUGCUCCUCUGUCCCCGCCUCCUGAUCCACCUGCCUGACUUCCUGUUAUCGACCCUUCGUCUGCCUGACCUCCCGUCCGACGAGUCCCUGUCGGUCUGUCUACUCUCCAGUUCCCGACUACCGAUCUUCUCUUCUGCCCUCCCGUUGCCGACACCUUGCCUGCUGACCCACCGACGUUUUCCUGCCCACCUGUCGGUGACUUUACUGUCUGCUCUCUGCCUGACCGAUCCUGUACCAGAAUAAAUUCUUGAAAGUGUCCUACAACUGUCGUCCGUCUGUGCACUUGGGUUCUGCCUAACCCCCUGUUACAGAUAGUGUGUCACUGUGUGUGUGCUUUGUGUGUGCCGUUCGAGAGGGGCCAACAUUGCAUGCAUGUGUGUGUGUGUGUGUUUGCUCUUACAGGGGGCAACAUUGUGUGGCACACUUAAAGGACACAGAGCUCUCCCCCUGAGUGUCCCCUCCUCCCCCCUGCUCCCCCCUCCUCCCCCGUUGUCUUUGAUCACCGUCUGCAGUGUCACUCAGCUUGCCCACUGCUCUGUCUGUCCGUCAACGGACGAUGGAAGGCGUGUUUGACGGAUGGGGGAGAGGUAAUUGCCGAUGGAACCACGAUCUGAUUGGCUGAUGAAUCCGUUGCAUCGUAAAAGUUAAAAUUUUCUCAACUUCUGCACGAAAGAGACGGAGCUGACGGAACGGACGGACCCACAAUGCAUUUCGGGAUCGCCCAAUACCAAAGUCAAUGAGAUCCAUCAACGGACGGAUGCAGUGCGCAAGGGGUGUCACUGUUCACCUGCAGCACCCUGCAGCGCAGGGGGCCAGCCUGCAGAACGCUGUGGACCCAAUACCAAAGGGAACAGGUUUAAAAUGACCCUUCGGAGGUCUUCAAGGUUCCUCCCAUUUCCUAGGGGAAAAUUCCCCUUGGCCCUCUGUUUCGAGGGGCAAGUCGAAGCCACUCAAAACGUCCUGACGUUAAGCAGCAGCAGGACAGACGGACCAGAGGGGGAGCGCAGACAGACAGACAGACAGACGUGUUGUUGUGUUAACAGCUAGUUCUGUUCAUGUUGGCUCAGCCAAUCACAAGCCGCCCGGAGUAGAUUCACCAGCCGUCCUGCUCUUCUAAUGGCCGCGGAUGUCUGACCCCUCACCUGGUAAUACGGCGAUGAUUCACCGUCAGAAAAACGGCCGUCUCAAACAGAGCUGGGGUCACUUACUUGACAAUAGACUCAAGUUAAAGCAGUCGUCUUCCCUUGAGCCGCCUGCUGUGGCAUUGAGCUCUUCAUCAGAACCAGAAGAGCUCUUUGUGAGGAGGAAUCUUCCUCUCAGCGGCUCUCAGCACAGAGGCCCGUCUGCGCUGAUGGUAUCGUGUCGCUGCGAUGUAUACGCAGGCUCUGUGUCAGAAAGGAGAGCUCUAUAAACCCCAGAUCCCCGCAACAAUAGUGGCCUGUGAUGAAUAUCUACAAUAACACAACCCAUAGGGGAGUGCUACCAUUUCAUUUCUCUGGCCAAAAUUCUGCAAUUUUAAUGUGUUAUGAAAUCAAGGCUGGCGCCAUCACAACCCGUUUCAAACAGAAAAAAUCUGACAAAAUAUGCAAAAGCACACAAUGUCACAUUAAACCCGUCGACGCACGAGCAGCCACAUGAAACGCCGGCGCCGUCCCACCGUGUGGCGGGAAGACAAAGGAGGAGAGGGAGAGGCGUAGCGCACCCUGAGGUACGUCGCUGCAUUGACUCUCAUUAAACUUGCAUUGUUUGAAGUGUUUAGUCGUGAACGUGUUGACAUAGCGGCAGCACGGCGCACAUGAGAGGCAAACAAAGUCCUCACCGCCAGCCGCUCCGAGCACAGGAGGCUCUCCGCUGCCGGCGUAAUGAGGACUGGGAGGAGAGGAACAUGUGAGGGAUCCAUUAGCGCUGUUAGCUCCUCUGCCUCCAUGAAGGAGGAGGCGGGAGGGAGGACAAUGGCAGUUCUUCUCAGGUUGAGUGAUGCCCUCCGCGCUGCCAUUACGCCGUUAUGGCGUUCCUCCAGAAGAUGUGAUUUAUUCACCUCGCUGUUGACGACGGGAUGGGACGCCUCCGGUGAGCGGAAACACUCAAUUGAAUUCUGACAAUCCACAUCUAGCUCCUGAGUCCCGGAGUCUCCGGCAACGCCGCAGCGCUGAGAUGGUGUGAUGCUCACAUCAGCGCCGGUCCUCAGGAUUGAUCAUCACAGAAUCAGAACCCUCCCCUGAUUGGAUGAAGGGUUGGGGGGGGGGGGGGUUAGCAGAACCAUGAGGAGCAGCCUGGGAGAGCAGUGAGAGCCAUCGGAUCAGAGGACCCAGCUCACAGAGGGACCUUUUGGAAUUGCUACAAAUCCUUGGUCAAUCAAAAUGUUGAGUUUUUGGAGAAACUGGGUGGCGACAACGUCUGAACGAUAAGAAUACGGGGGACAGUUCAUAUGAAAUAUAUUUAUUUAUGCAUACAUAUAUAUGUCUGUAUUAAUUGCUGUCAUGUGGGACCUUUCUUGAGGUGGG
ensembl:lncRNA